UGAUAAAAGUGGUGAGAGACAGAGGCUGUGGUGGGCAAUUUCACCUAGACAUUAGGAUACCCACCUUACUCUUUAUGAAGGGUGCUCAGGGAUCUUCUGUGACCACAGAGAGUCAAGACCUCAGUUUCACAUCUCGCAUGAUGAUCUCACACGGUGCCACUUUAACAGCACAGUGUCCCUGGGAUCCACUACUCAGACCACAAGCUAAGCACCCCCUGCUGGCCUCGCCAACACCUUUUCCAGUAGCAACCCAGGCUUUUCCUAGGUGGUCUCUCAUCCAAGCACUGGCUGGUCGUUUUAAGUGUAGGUGCUUAUCCUGGUAAGAGUUUGCAGUGAGGAAGAACCAACUGGAAUGGACGCCAAUCCUUGAAAAGGGCACCUUACCUUACAGACGGUACGGAGUAAAUGGAGCGAUCCAUCGAUCAGCCUGACGGAACCCAUCACUGACCGCUGUGAGCGAUUGGUGCACUUGCCUGGUGAUGUCGGCUCUCACACUUUUGUCUGUGCUGUGUCUCCACUACACUCCACCUCUUCACAGUGCAAAUCCAAUCCUUGUCGCCAAUUGAUUUGCUAUGGAUUUGAAACACGUAGCAUCACAAUUGGAAGGUUUGUGUUGUGGUGAAUUGCCGGCGGUGAGCUGCAAACCCACAUUCUCUGGCUCAAAGGCGAGUGCUCUGCGGCGGGAGCUAAACGGAGAGAUCCAUUUGCUAGCCAUGCGGAGCCCAUCUCUGACCACUGUGAGCGAGCGCUAUGUGGUGUGUACUAAACAGAGACCUACAUCCAUCAGUCGCACAGAGUCCAUCUCUGAGCACUGUGAGCAGCGCACUUCCCUGGUGAUGUCAGCUGAUCUGUCUUUCUCUGCGUAACUUUGCCACUCCACCCAUCCAGAGUGCAAAUCCCACCUUCAUCGCGAAGUCAAUUGUUGGGGACUCUCCCCACGUAGCACCUUGGGUUGAAGAUUUGUACUGUUGGUAAGCUGUGAACCUGCAGGGUUUGAGGUAAAAGGAGAUCUACGUACGUCGGUCACGCAGAGUCCAUCGCUGAUCAUUGUGACUGGUGCGCUUCCCUGGUGGUUUCACCCCAAACCCACCCCGAGCACCUUAUCUGCGUAAUGUCUCCACUAUGGUAGGAGUUUUCAGCUACCUGAGGUAGCAUCGGUCCACGUUACCUCGGAUAAUUUUGGUUCUACUGUUUAUAUUUUUGUAAUCCUUUACUGGCAUAUUCAAAACAUUCCAAAAAUGAUUUCAAGACCUCAGGUUUCUUUCAUUUGCCUUACACUCUUCUUUAUGCAGCACCUUCAGAAAGUAUUCAGACCCUUUUAUACACAUUUUAUGUUCAGGCCUCGUGCUAAUUAAUUUUUUACCUCAACAUGGACAAGUGGAAACCAAACCUGAGGAUUUUUUUCAAAUUUAUUAAAAAUAAAAAAAAACUGAAAUAUUUCAUUACCA